rnacentral:rRNA from 1 species
UACGGAGGAUGCAAGCGUUAUCCGGAUUCAUUGGGUUUAAAGGGUGCGUAGGCGGAUUAUUAAGUCAGUGGUGAAAUCCUACAGCUUAACUGUAGAACUGCCAUUGAUACUGAUAGUCUUGAAUUUGGUUAAGGUAGGCGGAAUGUGUAAUGUAGCGGUGAAAUGCUUAGAUAUUACACAGAACACCAAUUGCGUAGGCAGCUUACUGGACCGACAUUGACGCUGAGGCACGAAAGCGUGGGGAUCGAACAGGAUUAGAAACCCUUGUAGUCC